UACGAAGGGGGCGAGCGUUGUUCGGAAUUACUGGGCGUAAAGGGCGCGUAGGUGGUCGUGUAUGUCUCCCGUGAAAGCCCACGGCUCAACCGUGGUGUGUCGGGAGAAACUGCAGGACUUGAGGCUGGGAGGGGCUGGCGGAAUUCCCUGUGUAGCGGUGAAAUGCGUAGAGAUGGGGGAGAACACUCGUGGCGAAGGCGGCCAGCUAGACCAGUUCUGACACUGAGGCGCGACAGCGUGGGGAGCAAACAGG
rnacentral:rRNA from 1 species